rnacentral:rRNA from 1 species
GACGAACGCUGGCGGCGUGCCUAAUACAUGCAAGUCGAACGCAGUGGGGAAGGGUGAGUAACCCGUGGGUAAACUCCCCAACAGAGGGGAUAACACUUGGAAACAGGUGCUAAACCGAUAUUGAUGGAUGGACCAGCGGUGCAUUAGCUAGUUGGUGAGGUAACGGCUAACCAAGGCAACGAUGCAUAGCCGACCUGAGAGGGUGAUCGGCCACACUGGGACGGAGACACGGCCCAGACUCCUACGGGAGGCAGUAGUAGGGAAUCUUCGGCAAUGGGCGAAAGUCUGACCGAGCAACGCCGCGUGAGUGAAGAAGGUGUUCGGAUCGUAAAACUCUGUUGUUAGAGAAGCGGUAUCUAACCAGAAAGCCACGGCUAACUACGUGCCAGCAGCCGCGGUAAUAC